rnacentral:lncRNA from 1 species
AAUCAUUGAUUCAAAUGAUAUUUUCUAAUCAUUGGCACAGUAAGCUAUCAACUAAUCCAGUGAGAUAACCCAAUUACAAUGUAUAUGAAAAGCCAAAAAAAUGUGCCUACUAAGUACUCAAAAGAAGUUGAGGUUUGAUGGAAAAUAAGCUUUAAGGGUGGGAUGUCUGACAGAAAGCAAGCAAAAGAAGUUGGUCUUUCUCAUCCCUUUCACUGAUUCUGAGUCUCAUAGAAGGAAGGGACUAAGAGCUUUUGAGGGCAUUUGCUCUCCUUUUGAUAGAACUAGAUACCUUUAGUUCCAGAACCAUAUAUUUUAAUUAAAGGUUAUUCUCUCCUUCAUGGAUAAAUCUAGGUGACCUCAUAGAUAUCUUGUAUUACCCUGCUGUGUCACCUUUGCGCUGGAGCAGCAACUUGUUGCACCCUAGUGAAUGAAUUCAUCUUCUCUCAUAAAAAUUCUGGAAUAUUGUAACAAGGAUAAUAUCUUUCAAAACCCAAUAUUUAUAUGUUAUGCCUCAUAUCAUAGUUGCAUGUGCAUUUAUAUGCAUCACUAUUUUGAUGCACAAAAUUGCAAGCACCUCACAUAUUAGAGAAGGGAUCAAGGAUGGCUGAGAAUUAGGCGGAUCUUGAGUGACAAAGCAAAGAGGAUGGUGCAUAGAGCUGAAGGACACAAAUCCAUAAAGUAGGGGUAAAAGGCCCAGCAAUUAACAAAAAACCAAACAAACAUGUAACAAUAAUUUUGUUGACAUAAAAAGAAAAUAACUAUCAGUAGAUAUAUACGAAGCGAUUGAUUGCAGAAUAAGCUGUGGACUAACAAUUAAUACAUCCCAAAGUAUCUAUUUGGUCUCAAAUUGAUCCCAGAUCAAGUGGGACCAUGCAACCAACACUUGCAAUAAAUUACGUGUUACAGUAUCAUUCUGGACUACACUAAUUCCUGAUUAGUAGUAUAUAGCCCUGUGCCAAACAUGAGAUUUGUGCCGAUACAUCUCUGAUCAGUAUUGGGAUCUGUCAAACCCUAAAUAGNNNNNNNNNNNNNNNNNNNNNNNNNNNNNNNNNNNNNNNNNNNNNNNNNNNNNNNNNNNNNNNNNNNNNNNNNNNNNNNNNNNNNNNNNNNNNNNNNNNNNNNNNNNNNNNNNNNNNNNNNNNNNAACAAACUGUUCUAUCUUACCAGACAUUCUUAUAAAUACAUACGACAACGAUUGAAUGAUUAUAAAUGAAAUAUCCUAUAAUAAUCUAAAUAUCCUCUUGUAUUUUCUCCUUAUUUUCUCUCUGCAUUAUCUUCCUAAUUUUUUCUUCCCUCUCUCUCUCUCUCCCCCCCUUACAACAUGUUGCAAUGAACCAUACACCAUCGAGGAAGGCUAAUUAGAUGAGCACUGUCAACUGCUCAAUAUGGCCCAUAAGAGAGUCUGGUAGUACUGGACUUUCCUCAAUCCAAUUCUGAACCUUGAGGACAAUAUUUGUGUGAAGAAAGGACAGAUUUCAAAACCUAAAAAGAAGUGAAAGACGGAACAAAACGCUCAGCGGUUAGAAACAGUUAGGAGGAAUAGAAGUAGCCCUUUUGGUAGGAUUUUUUCUUUUUAAUGAUGUAAUAGCCGUUAUACUAGUGCAUUACAAUGACAAACUAAGAUAAAAGUUGUUACUGCACCCAAUGAACUGCACUGCUGUACCACAUAUUCCUAUAAAUACCUAAAGCAAUGAUUGAAUCAUUAUGAAUGAAAUCUUCUUACCCCAACUGCUUGGAAUUGACGCUAUAAGUUGAAACGUGGCAAUAACUGAAAAAUACUACCCACCAAAUUCCACCCAAAAUAGCCCCUAUUAAAUCUUAGUUGAACUUGCAAAGAAUAAAUUCAUAUAUUAUUCUGUGACUAAAAUAGAUAUGAAUAGGAAAAGAAAGUCAAUGGUAUUUGGUUUAGUUGUUGUAAAGAAAAAAUAUAUGAAAAUUUAUAAAUUGUAACCAGUUAGUUAUUUGACCAGCUAAUCAUCUAUCAAAGAUAUAAUAUUUGGAUGCAAUACCAGCACAGUAUCCAAACUACCUAUACACAACAGUGCCACAUUCAGAUCCUACCAUUAUAGAACUCUGAACAAAAUGAAAGAAAACGAGAAAAAGAUGACAAAAACCCUAAAAUUGAUUCCUAGUAUAGAAAAUAAUCAACAGAAGGGGAAAACAUAACUGCAAUUAGCAUAAAAUUCAUAGAUUCCUUCCUCUCGAAUGCUCUCAGGUCACUCUCCUUCCAAGCACUCACAUAACGAGAUUUUUUUUUUGGACACGCAGGAUAGUAUUAUUGAUGAUAUAAAAGCUAUACAUCACAGUCCCUCAAAAAAAAGUUGCCCGAUCAAAUUCUGCCAGAAGAGAAACCCCAUCAAAGAUUUAAGUCAAAACCACACAUAAGGCAUUCAAAUAUAUACUAGCAUACUCAGUGCACGCAUGUGCAAAUUUUGAAACAGUUAUUCGUAAAUGUGCAACAUCUAUACCAGAUACGAACAGAAAAAAGAAAGCCAAGAAACCUUAAUUAAAAUGAUAUAUAUUACGGGGAAAAAAAAAAAGAUAUGCAAAAUGCCUAAACGAUAACCUUUCACUUAAUUGACCAGCCAAGCAUAAAUCAAUGACCUAAAAUUCGGAUACAAUACCAGCAAAGCAUCUGCGACGUCGAUUCAAGACAAUGUCACAUGUCUUGCCAGAUUAAAAUGCUGAAUUAAAUGAAAAAAGCAAAGCAAGCAACAAAAGAAAUAUGAAAACCCUAAAAAACCGAUUCCUGCUGCAGAAAAACGAUCAAGAAAAAAGGAAACGAAAACAAAAGAACAUCAAUGCAUCAUUCAAAGACGUAAUCAGAACAACUUGAAAUCGAAAAUCGACGACACUCAAGCCCUAAUAGCAGAGUCGCGAUAAAGAAGAGAUUACCUACGGAGAAAAAGUGCUCCGAUUCGGAGCUGUAGGUAGAUGGAGAGUGCCUUUGUUCGACGAGGAAUCGGCGAGGCCUUGAAUCGAGCAGGGAUUUAUAGCGGUGAAGUAAGGGGGCGAAGACAGAGACGAAAUGCGAGUCCGCUUACAAAGGAGCGGAUUUUCUGAACAGAGAGUAGAUUCUGUUGAACAUAAUGAGCAGGCUUUAUUUAUAUAUGCUCUCCGUGGUAACAGUUCCUGUGUGUUGCAUUUAGUUUAUGCUAAAACGGGGUGCC